UACGAAGGGUGCAAGCGUUGUUCGGAAUCACUGGGCGUAAAGAAUGCGUAGGCGGCUUAACAAGUCGAGAGUGAAAUCCCAGGGCUCAACCCUGGAACUGCUUUCGAAACUGUUUUGCUAGAGUCCCGGAGGGGUUAGCGGAAUUCCGAGUGUAGAGGUGAAAUUCGCAGAUAUUCGGAGGAACACCAGUGGCGAAGGCGGCUAACUGGACGGGAACUGACGCUGAGGCAUGAAAGUGUGGGGAUCAAACAGG
rnacentral:rRNA from 1 species